rnacentral:tRNA from 1 species
GGGAAUAUAGCUCAGUAGUAGAGCCUAUUCUUGGUGUGCACAAGGUCCUGGGUUCAAUCCCCAGUGCCUCCA